UUCCAGACCUACAGCCCCUUGAGCCAGGACCAGAGGAGGCACAAGUGGAAGCACAGAGGAGGGAGCCACCAUGAGAUGACAAGAGACCCAGGGCAGCCGGAAGAUGGCAGAGCAGGUACAGGAAGCCACCCUGGACUCUUCACAGCCCAGAAGCAAAGCAGCAAAAGGCCCAGAGGGGACUCCUAGAACUCAAUGAUGGGCAGAACUGAGGUUCUCAGCACUGGUGACCCCACGAAGAAAGCUAAACACUAAUUAUGCAAUGGCUGGAAAUGAAGGCACCAGAAACUUUGGUUCUCUUAGGUUUGGAUCCCUAAGCCAAGUGUGAUCAUAUCAGUCAUCAACCAAACCAGCACAUAUGUGAAGGGGGCUCAUCAAUAGCAUGUCAGGACCGACGGCGGACAUCCCAGUUCUACUGGUUGGAUCAGGAGGCACAACCAGCUCCUGACCUUUCCAGCUUCUCUGACUCACCCUCCUUGGAAGUCUCUCCUGGUUUUACUAUCAUGGUCCUGGGCACUUCUGGGCACUUCUGGGCACUGUGUCCUUCUGCUGAAAUUAUAGCCCCCAGGGACACAGAGUGAAGAGUCUGGCCCCAGGAGCCAGACAGCAUGAGUUCACCUGGCCUGCACCCAGGUCCUCCCAUGACCAGUUGUGUGCCUCCUUCAGUGACAUCUCUCCACUUGGCCCAAGGGAAGGAACUCGCCACCAUUUCUCAUUAGAGGGUUCCUUUGUUUUUUCUUGUUUUUUUGAAAGCAUCAGGUGGCCAUGGAAUGAACCGUUCCUAUUCCAGUAAUAUUCUCCUGCUCCUUGCCUAGUAAUUUUCUUUACUAGGAAAGAAGAAAAGCAGGAGGCCCCUCCAAAUCAAGCACGCUCUACCUAAUGAGGUUGAGCCCCCUGGAUCAUGUCACUUGGGGCAGAGAUGCAGGUCGGGUGGUCCAUAAGGCCACAGAACACUGCUGGGACUUCCCUUGCAAACCUCAUGAGUGUGUCUUUGUCUCUUUCUUAGUGACUUCAUCCUCUGUCUCCAUCUCAAAGUCCUUUGCAUAAAACAGCAGAGAAAGUCAAAGGUGCUGUCUGGGUUUUUUAUGAAUCAUGAGUGAAAGGUCAUGGUCCCUCUCACACAUUUUCAUGUUCUGAAGUCUCCAUAGCAGUCAGUGCUUAGGACUCAAUUGUCAUGCUCAGGUCAUUGUCAUACAAUGUCCAGCUACUGGGCCAGGGUGGAAGUGCCUUUCUCUGAGUGGCCCUCCCUGCUGCUAUUUUACCUUCCUCCUGGGGAGCCAGCUGUGAGCCCCAAACCCAGGUAUCCAUUUUCUAGACAUUGUCCUGUCUCUUUUGUCCUCAUGGACUUGGAGAUGAAGGGACCGCGGCUCUGUAUCCAGAAUCCAUGAAGAAGCCUGAGCCCCUGCUCAUGCUGUCUUGGCCACUGGAUGCCUGGACUCUGCAUGCUCAGAUACACUCUUGCUCAAGUCCUUGCCACCACUGGUCUCUUCACAAUGUUUCUCCCCACGCUGCUGCUCAAUGCCUGGCUUGCUGCUGGAAUAGGUAAAUCAGAUCGAUCGCUCCUCUGUGUAUUUCUUCCUUUCAAGCUAUUUGUACUUUUUCACCUUCAAAGACACACAAUCAAUCAAACAUGAGUGAUUGCUGCAGCAGGUAUCGACCAUUUUUUUUUAAACAUUGAAGGUUUGGAGGAAUCUGCACAGGGCUCUGUAGUAAUGGGUUGGGAAGGACUACCACUCCCAGAGUCGUUUCCUAUGGGCCUCUGAAAAUCUCUGUGCCUGUGUUGAGGAUUCAGCCUGCAUUUGUACUUGCUAACAAUUUUCUUUAAUGUUCCUAGAAGAAUGAAACCGCAGUUUAGAUCAUUUUUAAAACGCAUGUUUGGGGGCAGGCCCUGUGUGUCAGAAACUGGGAAGGGGAGGAGUUCUAGGCUGUUUCUUCCCCAUAAUGGAACUCACUGGAGAGCUAAGGAUAGGGAUCUGAAAGUGCUUAUUUGAAAGUAAGUUUCUUAAGGGAAAUUGUGAUGCAACCUGUCACCCGUGCUGCUUUGAGGAUGUGUCCCUGGGAAACCUAGUCUGUGGAAACUGUAUGCCUCUGUAUUAUAGUAAGAAAACUAAAGUGUGCCCAUGGGUGAAGACACAUAAUCACCCCAAAGCAAAAUGGGAAGCCCCAGCAGUCCUGGGCUGCCCGCGGCUCCACACUGCAGCGGGAGACCUCCAUCACAUAUUCCUGAUUUCCUUGGCUGGUUUCCUACUGACUAAAAAUGGCUCAACGGCUUCAAGCCUCACAUCCUUCCAGGAGAGCAGGAAGAGGAGGGAAAACAGAGGGAUUUCCACCCACCUCUGGCCUCUCUCCCUUCUCAUGGAACUCCCCUGAAGCUGCCCAAAAUUUUUUCAUGGAUCAUUGACAGAAUCAGGUGCAUAGACUCCCCUAGACCAAGCACAGGCAGACGCCAUUGCAAUUAGCCCAAAGGGAGAGACCAAAUGCGAUUCAUAUUUGCAGCUUAGGGACAGAGGUAUCUUCUUUGGACACCUGAAUAAUGUUAGGGUGCUGUUUGUGUGGGAAAAUGAAAUAAGUGCUACAUAAGUGAUCCUUGUUAUUUCAUUACAGUGUUGCCAUAUGGCCCCAACCUCAUUAGGGGGAGUUCCAGAGCCUUCCUCUUGCCUCUUCCUCCUACAUCAAAUUUCUCAACAACUUGGUUUAAUAGAGUCCAACAGAAAUCCGUUUGCCUUUCAAUGCUAAGAAGGAAAGAAAUGGCCUCCCAUCAGUCUCCUGCUGCCACUGCUCCAUGCUGACCCCAGUGUCACUGUCCAACUGUGGCCAAUGACAAUCUGCAGCUGCAAUGCUCUGUGGCUGCAGGACCCUUGCUGGGCAUGAGGUUAGACUGCUUUGUGGUUCAUGUCUAGAUAUUGCUUGAGCGGGGCACCACCUGGUACCCUGCACCAGCCAUGGGAAAGCAACCUCGCUGUGGCCUGGGGUUGAGCUCAUUUGUCAUCCUCGGCCUACUCUGUUCACAGGUUCCUUUAUUUUAUGAAAUUAAUUGUCCUUGCCUCUUCCUUGAUCUUGACCUUCUGGUCCUUCUUUAUCUGUCUGUUUUGAACUCCAAAUCUGAGAGGUCAGGACCCAGGGGAUCCACUUUCACUUCCAGGGGGCAUUAGAUCCAUUUUGCAAAAUAAUGCCCUCUUUCCAGCAGCCAUCUUGUGCAUGGUGGAGGAAUAGGUAAGACCUCUUGCUAAUCCAGUGGAAUACAAGCACUGUCAUCAAAGGAUCCUUCUAUUUUUUUUGUAGCCUUCUCCAUGGCAACUGGAUGAUAGCAGGAGCCCAGAGUUUUAAAUGAUGGUGAUGGUUAUCACCAUCAGAACUUGCUGUUUGAGGCAAUGAACAUUUAUAUAAUUAAAAGUGAAAAUCUAAAAGAAGUUUUCCUUGGACAAGAAGAUGCCAGCAGAUUGGUUAUCUCCCUGCAUGACCAAAAUGUAUCAGACAGCUUUCUGUUACUGCAACAACUACCUGAGAUAACCAACUUGUGAAGAAAAAAGGUUUAUUUUGGCUCACAGUUUUGGAGGCUUCAGCUCAUAAUCAACAGACCCCACUGUCUUUGAAAAUGUGGUGAGGAGGGACACCAUGAAGGCAGUAAAACCACUCCCCUCAUGGCCACAGAGCAAGAGAGGAAGGAAAGCAAGCAAAGUCUAACUACCCACUUCUGGUGCAUGUCCCUAACAACCUAGAACCUCCCGCUAGACCCCACAUCCCAAAGUUUCUACCAUCUCCCAAUAGCACCAAGAUGGGGACUAUGGCUGUGACACAGGGGCCUCUGUGGGACAUUUAAGAUCCAAAUGAUGGCAAAGAAUGAGCCUGGAGCUGUUGUAAAAGUGCCCCUCGUGGGCGUCACCUCUUACCUUAGUCUUAACCACCCCAUUACACACCGAGGGGCCUCUGAACAGAGGGGCUCUGCUCCCUCAAGUCAGCCCUCCAGGGUCUCCCUGGCCGAGCCAUCUCCUCUUGGAAGCUCAGGAGUCCUGGCCAUUGUGGGGGAUGCAGUACCUGAGUCCGGCUGCUCUUAGGGACUGUCACUGUAGGGAUCAGGUCUUUUCUUCUUCAGAAAGUGGGGACCCCCCUGCACCCUGCAAGCUGCUGUUGCCUCCAUCGGACCCCAUUCCCACCAUUCCUGCAUGGCCUGUUCUGCCAAUGUUAGAGCGGGGGUCUCCUUUGGAGGUCUCCCUCCUCCCCAUCAGUGGUUGUGACCAUGUGUGCAGUGCAGUGUCAGGGUCCAGAGAGUGCCUUCAGCAACACCUAACUCCACAUCGCUCCAUCGCUUCUGAAAACUCAGCUGUUUUGGUGGCUCCUGUUCAGAUGAAAAUACGUUGGUCCCUCUGAUCCAGGGCUCCACACUCAUGGAGUCUACCAACCAGGAAGUGAAAAUGUUUGGGGAAAAGAAUCCAUUCUAAA